GAGUAUACUAAGGCGUAGAGCUAAAAGUUGUUAAGGAACUCGGCAAAUUAUCCUGCCUUGUGCUUUGGGAAAGUACAUAGAUGGGUCAAACUAUCAAACUCCGGGGACACCCUAAAGCUUAUGAUACCAAACUAUAAUCGAAAGAUUAUAAGUGGCCAGAAUAAUUACCUGGGUAUGGUAAUAAGUCAUAAGAUAGAUGAAAAUCAAAUGGGCUAUCGCGGAUCUAAAUCAAAAUUUAUUACACAAACAAAUUUUGUAAAAGAGCAACGAGUAGACGGUAGUUGGAGCAUAGCUAAAAAUAAACACAUGCUCUUAAGGUGUACUCUAAUGGGUUUCGAAAGAAAUUAUCCAAUCAAAAUCCCUUCUAAACAAUUAAAUAAAUCAUUUUAUUCUACUUCGAAUUGUAAACUUAAAAUUAACCUUUGGUUUGUUAUAAAAUUUACAGAUGCAGAAGGUUGUUUUUCUAUUUCAAUAUAUAGUUAAUAUGUUUAAAAAUAAAUAAUAUUUAACUAGAGAUGUUUAAAUUUUUAAAUGUUAAAAUUGUUAAAAUGUUUUAAUGUUUAAAUCAGAAUACUAGAAAUAAAAUAAAUAAUGAAUAAUAAUAGAUCUUGGUAGAAUAAAUAUUUAUCUAAUUGCAUGAUAAAUUUGAUAGCCAUGCUAAAGUUCGACGACAAGAGGA
rnacentral:ncRNA from 1 species